rnacentral:rRNA from 1 species
UACGUAGGGUGCGAGCGUUAAUCGGAAUUACUGGGCGUAAAGUGUGCGCAGGCGGCCGAGCAAGUCGAGUGUGAAAGCCCCGGGCUUAACUGGGGAGGGUCACGCGAUACUGAUCGACUCGAAGGCAGGAGAGGGUAGUGGAAUUCCCGGUGUAGUGGUGAAAUGCGUAGAUAUCGGGAGGAACACCAGUGGCGAAGGCGACUACCUGGCCUGUUCUUGACGCUGAGGCGCGAAAGCUAGGGGAGCAAACGGG